GCAGGUGUGAUCUAGUCUGGCUAGGAUAUUAGCCCUCCAAGCUAAUUGCCCGGGUUCAAAUCCCGGCACCUGCA
rnacentral:tRNA from 1 species